CAGCCGCCGCGGGAAUACGAAGGGUGCAAGCGUUAAUCGGAAUUACUGGGCGUAAAGCGUGCGUAGGCGGUGAGUUAAGUCUGCUGUGAAAUCCCCGGGCUCAACCUGGGAAUGGCAGUGGAUACUGGCUCGCUAGAGUGUGUCAGAGGAUGGUGGAAUUCCCGGUGUAGCGGUGAAAUGCGUAGAGAUCGGGAGGAACAUCAGUGGCGAAGGCGGCCAUCUGGGACAACACUGACGCUGAGGCACGAAAGCGUGGGGAGCAAACAGGAUUAGAUACCCGCGUAGUCCCUGUCUCUUAUAC
rnacentral:rRNA from 1 species